AUGGCUGGCCUCAAAGGCACUCGCUUCGGAUUUCCAAAACUCAAUACUCAUCUUUUAAAAGCCGAGCCAAGAAGAAAAUGCGAGGAAGGCCUCGGAUGCGGGAGACCUCGGGGAAGGACCUCAGCUUGUGAGACUGAAGAGACUUCUCUGAAGCCACGAGCAGCAUGGGAGAGCAAAGGCAUGGGGGAACAGAGAAGUUCUCCUCUCCAAGGAGGAGCUUUAAGAUGCCUGAAGAAGGGAAUUAAGACUUCUGGUCGAGGCUUUAGCACCAUGUUAUAAUGGGUCUAUGCAGCGUAUCCUGUCUGAAAUUCUAGAUGCCUGAGGAGUGUUGAAAGAAAAGGACACCCGCCAGCAGUCUGUCACCAGUGGAACUUCCAGCAAUCUCUGCAUUUCAGAGCCUUCAAUGGAUUUUUUCUUUUCCUCGUGAAUUUACUUAAUCACUUUCUAAAUCCUGUUUCAUGCAGCACCAUGAGAAUGAUAAUCUAAUUUUGGUCUCUAAGACACGUAAUACAAAAACAAUAGGGGGCCCAGGGAAGAAUGAAGCAAAUUUGCCAACAGAUAUUACAAAAGCAGGCAACAACUCCAGUCUAGUGAUGAAGAAAAUUACUAAAACCACUCAUUACAAAACAACCCAGCACUUCCUGCUUUG
rnacentral:lncRNA from 1 species